GACGAACGCUGGCGGCGUGCUUAACACAUGCAAGUCGAACGGAAAGGCCCUGCUUUUGUGGGGUGCUCGAGUGGCGAACGGGUGAGUAACACGUGAGUAACCUGCCCUUGACUUUGGGAUAACUUCAGGAAACUGGGGCUAAUACCGGAUAGGAGCUCCUGCUGCGUGGUGGGGGUUGGAAAGUUUCGGCGGUUGGGGAUGGACUCGCGGCUUAUCAGCUUGUUGGUGGGGUAGUGGCUUACCAAGGCUUUGACGGGUAGCCGGCCUGGGAGGGUGACCGGCCACAUUGGGCCUGCGAUACGGCCCAGACUCCUACGGGAGGCAGCAGUGGGGAAUAUUGCGCAAUGGGCGGAAGCCUGAUGCAGCAACGCCGCGUGCGGGAUGACGGCCUUCGGGUUGUAAACCGCUUUCGCCUGUGACGAAGCGUGAGUGACGGUAAUGGGUAAAGAAGCACCGGCUAACUACGUG
rnacentral:rRNA from 1 species